AGUGAACGCUGGCGGUAGGCCUAACACAUGCCAGUCGAACGGCAGCACAGUAAGAGCUUGCUCUUACGGGUGGCGAGUGGCGGACGGGUGAGGAAUACAUCGGAAUCUACUUUUUCGUGGGGGAUAACGUAGGGAAACUUACGCUAAUACCGCAUACGACCUACGGGUGAAAGCAGGGGAUCUUCGGACCUUGCGCGAUUGAAUGAGCCGAUGUCGGAUUAGCUAGUUGGCGGGGUAAAGGCCCACCAAGGCGACGAUCCGUAGCUGGUCUGAGAGGAUGAUCAGCCACACUGGAACUGAGACACGGUCCAGACUCCAACGGGAGGCAGCAGUGGGGAAUAUUGGACAAUGGGCGCAAGCCUGAUCCAGCCAUACCGCGUGGGUGAAGAAGGCCUUCGGGUUGUAAAGCCCUUUUGUUGGGAAAGAAAAGCAGCAGGUUAAUACCCCGCUGUUCUGACGGUACCCAAAGAAUAAGCACCGGCUAACUUCGUG
rnacentral:rRNA from 1 species